GAUGAACGCUAGCGGGAGGCUUAACACAUGCAAGUCGAGGGGUAAAUGGUAGCAAUACUAUGAGACCGGCGGACGGGUGCGUAACGCGUAUGCAACAUACCUUUAGCAGGGGGAUAGCCCGUGGAAACGCGGAUUAAUAUUCCAUAGUCCAGCAGUAUCGCAUGGUACCACUGGUAAAGAUUAAUCGGCUAAAGAUUGGCAUGCGUCUGAUUAGUUAGUUGGUAGGGUAACGGCCUACCAAGGCGACGAUCAGUAGGGGUUCUGAGAGGAUUACCCCCCAACUGGUACUGAGACACGGACCAGACUCCUACGGGAGCAGCAGUGAGGAAUAUUGGUCAAUGGGCGGAAGCCUGAACCAGCCAUCCCGCGUGAAGGAAGACAGCCUUACGGGUUGUAAACUUCUUUUCUGUUUGAAGAAUAAGCCCGUUGAGACGGGUGAUGCCGGUAGGACAGGAAUAAGCAUCGGCUAACUCCGUG
rnacentral:rRNA from 1 species